UACGUAGGGUGCAAGCGUUUGUCCGGAAUUAUUGGGCGUAAAGAGCUCGUAGGCGGUCUGUCACGUCGGCUGUGAAAACCCGGGGCUCAACCCCGGGCCUGCAGUCGAUACGGGCAGACUAGAGUGCGGUAGGGGAGACUGGAAUUCCUGGUGUAGCGGUGAAAUGCGCAGAUAUCAGGAAGAACACCAAUGGCGAAGGCAGCUCGCUGGGACGGUACUGACGCUGAGACGCGAAAGCGUGGGGAGCAAACAGG
rnacentral:rRNA from 1 species